rnacentral:rRNA from 1 species
CAAUAGCGUAUAUUUAAGUUGUUGCAGUUAAAAAGCUCGUAGUUGGAUUUCGGAUGGGAUUUGCCGGUCCGUCGUUACGAUGUGCACUGGCCAGUCCUAUCUUGUUGUAGGGGACUAGCUCCUUGGAUUCACUUCCUGGGACUAGGAGCUGACGAGGUUACUUUGAGUAAAUUAGAGUGUUCAAAGCAAGCCUACGCUCUGAAUACAUUAGCAUGGAAUAACACGAUAGGACUCUGGCUUAUCUUGUUGGUCUGUGAGACCAGAGUAAUGAUUAAGAGGGACAGUCGGGGACAUUCGUAUUUCAUUGUCAGAGGUGAAAUUCUUGGAUUUAUGAAAGACGAACUUCUGCGAAAGCAUUUGUCAAGGAUGUUUUCAUUAA